rnacentral:rRNA from 1 species
GAUAAACGCUGGCGGCGUGCCUAAUACAUGCAAGUCGAGCGAACGGACGAGAAGCUUGCUUCUCUGAUGUUAGCGGCGGACGGGUGAGUAACACGUGGAUAACCUACCUAUAAGACUGGGAUAACUUCGGGAAACCGGAGCUAAUACCGGAUAAUAUUUUGAACCGCAUGGUUCAAAAGUGAAAGACGGUCUUGCUGUCACUUAUAGAUGGAUCCGCGCUGCAUUAGCUAGUUGGUAAGGUAACGGCUUACCAAGGCAACGAUGCAUAGCCGACCUGAGAGGGUGAUCGGCCACACUGGAACUGAGACACGGUCCAGACUCCUACGGGAGGCAGCAGUAGGGAAUCUUCCGCAAUGGGCGAAAGCCUGACGGAGCAACGCCGCGUGAGUGAUGAAGGUCUUCGGAUCGUAAAACUCUGUUAUUAGGGAAGAACAUAUGUGUAAGUAACUGUGCACAUCUUGACGGUACCUAAUCAGAAAGCCACGGCUAACUACGUGCCAGCAGCCGCGGUAAUACGUAGGUGGCAAGCGUUAUCCGGAAUUAUUGGGCGUNAAGCGCGCGUAGCGGUUUUUUAGUCUGAUGUGAAAGCCCACGGCUCAACCGUGGAGGGUCAUUGGAAACUGGAAAACUUGAGUGCAGAAGAGGAAAGUGGAAUUCCAUGUGUAGCGGUGAAAUGCGCAGAGAUAUGGAGGAACACCAGUGGCGAAGGCGACUUUCUGGUCUGUAACUGACGCUGAUGUGCGAAAGCGUGGGGAUCAAACAGGAUUAGAUACCCUGGUAGUCCGCGCCGUAAACGAUGAGUGCUAAGUGUUAGGGGGUUUCCGCCCCUUAGUGCUGCAGCUAACGCAUUAAGCACUCCGCCUGGGGAGUACGACCGCAAGGUUGAAACUCAAAGGAAUUGACGGGGACCCGCACAAGCGGUGGAGCAUGUGGUUUAAUUCGAAGCAACGCGAAGAACCUUACCAAAUCUUGACAUCCUUUGACAACUCUAGAGAUAGAGCCUUCCCCUUCGGGGGACAAAGUGACAGGUGGUGCAUGGUUGUCGUCAGCUCGUGUCGUGAGAUGUUGGGUUAAGUCCCGCAACGAGCGCAACCCUUAAGCUUAGUUGCCAUCAUUAAGUUGGGCACUCUAAGUUGACUGCCGGUGACAAACCGGAGGAAGGUGGGGAUGACGUCAAAUCAUCAUGCCCCUUAUGAUUUGGGCUACACACGUGCUACAAUGGACAAUACAAAGGGCAGCGAAACCGCGAGGUCAAGCAAAUCCCAUAAAGUUGUUCUCAGUUCGGAUUGUAGUCUGCAACUCGACUACAUGAAGCUGGAAUCGCUAGUAAUCGUAGAUCAGCAUGCUACGGUGAAUACGUUCCCGGGUCU